UCAGAUUUCGACAUGGAUAUGUCGGAUGAGAUCCUCAUCACUGACAUCAUUGACCAGCUCAACCAUAAAGUGGCAUUUAUCACAGGUGGAAAGACGCAGGAAGGUUAUCCAAUCAUCAAUAUGCCGGAGUGUCCCAAGUUCAACCUGGUCCGAGAUGAAGAAUUUGUCAGGCUCAUGACGUAUCUUGUCAGGAUACCCAGGUAUAUAUAUAUUUAUAAUUUGUAAUGUUAUAUCUCUCUGUGCUUUGAUAGGACUUAUAUAUCACUUCCAUUAUGAAGUUCAUUCUAUCACCAUGUUUUAAUUAAUCCCCACCUCAAAUUGACUAGCCAAAAAAGGAAACCUAAGUAGAAAAACAAAUUUUUUAAAAAACAAAUCUUACUCCGCACAACAUCAAGAAUGUGAUUUUAUAAAUGAUGCACCCAUAAAUAAACUGUCCAAAAUGUUGCACUUGUAUUUUGCUAAUCAGCAUUUUAACAACUGGGGGAAAUGUCAACAAUCUUACUCAAUACAAUUAACAUCAAGAAUGGGAUUUUUUUAAUGAUUCACCCAUAAAUAUACUGUCAAAAAUGUUACACUUGUAUUUUGCCCAUCAACAUUUAACAACUAGGGGGAAAUGUCAACGGCACGCUGUUACUCUUCUGCCGAGCCCAGGUUUCAUUCUCCUUUAAUGUGAGAAUGUCACCCCUGUGGCUGUUCACUCCUUCAUUCUCCAUUCACCACCAUGGGGGUGAGCAGGAUGUGUUUCUCUAUGCUAGUAUAGGGAGCUCAGGCAUUCACUCAAUUUCCUCAAUCAAGGGGGCCAUUCAGACUUGACAAAGCUUAUGUAUACUUCAGGCCACUUUUUCCCCCUUUUUCUAAGGCUAUUUUCACAGCUGAUUCCCUAAAUCUGCAACAUUGGAUCUACUUUUAACAUUACAGUGAAUGAAGAAUUCUGGGGCUCUAUUGACCACCCAGAGCCCUCCGUGUAGCUUUUUUUUCAAUGAGCAACAUACUAGGCCUUGAAAAUACAUAAAUUAUAAAAUAUAAAUAGAAACAUGUAUAUCUAUAUGCAUAAAAAAAAUGGAAUUUGAGUGGCUUCCAGAGGAGGUGAGGGGAAAUGAUUCAAAUAAAAACAUUACAAAUGAAAGAAAAAGAUGCAAAUGUG